rnacentral:rRNA from 1 species
GCAGCAGUGAGGAAUAUUGGUCAAUGGGCGAGAGCCUGAACCAGCCAAGUAGCGUGAAGGACGACGGCCCUACGGGUUGUAAACUUCUUUUAUAAGGGAAUAAAGUUCGCCACGUGUGGUGUUUUGUAUGUACCUUAUGAAUAAGCAUCGGCUAAUUCCGUGCCAGCAGCCGCGGUAAUACGGAAGAUCCGAGCGUUAUCCGGAUUUAUUGGGUUUAAAGGGAGCGUAGGCGGGCUUUUAAGUCAGCGGUCAAAUGUCGUGGCUCAACCGUCAAAUUGCCGUUGAAACUGUAAGCCUUGAGUCUGCACAGGGCACAUGGAAUUCGUGGUGUAGCGGUGAAAUGCUUAGAUAUCACGAAGAACUCCGAUCGCGAAGGCAUUGUGCCGGGGCAUAACUGACGCUGAGGCUCGAAAGUGCGGGUAUCAAACAGGAUUAGAUACCCUGGUAGUCCGCACGGUAAACGAUGAAUGCUCGCUAUGGGCGAUAUAUUGUCCGUGGCCAAGCGAAAGCGUUAAGCAUUCCACCUGGGGAGUACGCCGGCAACGGUGAAACUCAAAGGAAUUGACGGGGGCCCGCACAAGCGGAGGAACAUGUGGUUUAAUUCGAUGAUACGCGAGGAACCUUACCCGGGCUUGAAUUGCAGGUGCAUGAGUCAGAGAUGAUUCUUUCCUUCGGGACUCCUGUGAAGGUGCUGCAUGGUUGUCGUCAGCUCGUGCCGUGAGGUGUCGGCUUAAGUGCCAUAACGAGCGCAACCCUUCUCCCCAGUUGCCAUCGGGUAAUGCCGGGCCCUCUGGGGACACUGCCAUCGUAAGAUGCGAGGAAGGUGGGGAUGACGUCAAAUCAGCACGG